AUUGAACGCUGGCGGCAGGCCUAACACAUGCAAGUCGAACGAGUGGCGGACGGGUGAGUAAUGUCUGGGAAACUGCCUGAUGGAGGGGGCUAACUACUGGAAACGGUAGCUAAUACCGCAUACCAUCGGAUGUGCCCAGAUGGGAUGAGCCAGCAGGUGGGGUAACGGGUCACCUAGGCGACGAUCCCUAGCCGGUCUGAGAGGAUGACCAGCCACACUGGAACUGAGACACGGUCCAGACUGCGACGGGAGGCGGCGGUGGGGAUUAUUGCGCAAUGGGCGCCAGCCUGGUGCAGCCAUGCCGCGUGUAUGAAGAAGGCGUUCGGAUUGUGAAGUACUUUCAGCGGGGGGGCGUUACCCGCAGAGGUACCACCGGCUAACUCCGUGCCAGCAGCCGCGGUAAUUC
rnacentral:rRNA from 1 species